UACGAAGGGGGCUAGCGUUGCUCGGAAUCACUGGGCGUAAAGGGCGCGUAGGCGGCCAUUCAAGUCGGGGGUGAAAGCCCAGGGCUCAACCCUGGAAUUGCCUUCGAUACUGUCUGGCUAGAGACCGGAAGAGGUAAGUGGAACUGCGAGUGUAGAGGUGAAAUUCGUAGAUAUUCGCAAGAACACCAGUGGCGAAGGCGGCUUACUGGUCCGGUUCUGACGCUGAGGCGCGAAAGCGUGGGGAGCAAACAGG
rnacentral:rRNA from 1 species